rnacentral:rRNA from 1 species
AGAGUUUGAUCAUGGCUCAGGAUGAAUGCUGGCGGCGUGCCUAACACAUGCAAGUCGAGCGGCAGCGGGUUCUGCACUAUCAACUUGAAGCCUGGACGCGAUGAUUUCCAAGGGAAAUCAGCCGUAUCAUUCCGAGAGGGAUGAGUGUCUGGGGUGACUUCGAACUGAUAGUGCAGAAUGCCGGCGAGCGGCGAACGGCUGAGUAACGCGUAGGAAUUUGCCCCAAAGUGAGGGAUAACUGCCCGAAAGGGUAGCUAAUACCGCAUAUGGUCUUCGGAUUAAAGGAUUUAUCCGCUUUGGGAGAAGCCUGCGUUGGAUUAGGUUGUUGGUAGGGUAAUGGCCUACCAAGCCGACGAUCCAUAGCUGGUCUGAGAGGAUGAUCAGCCAGACUGGAACUGAGACACGGUCCAGACUCCUACGGGAGGCAGCAGUGAGGAAUCUUCCACAAUGGGCGAAAGCCUGAUGGAGCAACGCCGCGUGAAGGAUGAAGGCCUUCGGGUUGUAAACUUCUUUUAUGAGUGAAGAAUAUGACGGUAACUCAUGAAUAAGCACCGGCUAACUACGUGCCGGCAGCCGCGGU